rnacentral:other from 16 species
ACCUGUAUUAUGUACAGGGUGGCAGAUGGCGUGCCAUAAAUCUAUUAGUGGGAUACCACGCUUGUGGACCUUAUGCCCACACAGCCAUCCUCUAGUAAGUUUGUAAAAUGUCUGGUGAGAUGUGGGAACUUAUUGGAAACAACAAUUUGCUUAAUAGCAUCCUAGUGCCAGCGGAACAACAUCUGGUAACAGAUGCCUCUGGGGCCAAAAGCCAAGGUUUGACAGACCCAUUAGGAUUGGUUUCAAAACCUGAAUUGUUGUGGAAGAUAUUCAGUACCUAUCAAUCUGGUAGUGGUGCAAACACUAGUUGUAAGGCCCACGAAGGAUGCCCAGAAGGUACCCGCAGGUAACAAGAGACACUGUGGAUCUGAUCUGGGGCCAACUACCUCUAUCAGGUGAGUUAGUUAAAAAACGUCUAGUGGGCCAAACCCAGGGGGGAUCCCUGGUUUCCUUUUAUUGUUAAUAUUGA